GCCAUGGUGGCUCAAUGGUUAAGUGCUGGGCUGCAAACCUAAAGAUCUGUGGUUUGAACCCACCAGUGGCU
rnacentral:tRNA from 1 species